rnacentral:rRNA from 1 species
CCCUACGGGGCGGAGCACGGGACCGCACCUUCACUUCGAGGUCCGCAUCGACGGUACGCCCAAGAAUCCAUUCAACUACCUCGGCCCCAAGCCGUAGUUACUGUCAGGGAGAUACUCAUGGCAUCCAGGAAAACUGCCCUCAUCAGGGGUACUGCGCUCCUUGUUAUCGUUGCUGUGUCGUUCUGGGCCGGAUUUUUGCUGUACCCGGUCCUUGGUCCGCGCCUUGUAUCAACGCAGAGGCCUGAGUCAGUUCAGACGACACUGACCAGAGAUGAGUACCUGAAGCUCUCUGGUGAGAUCUAUGACACCCUUUCCCUGCAGUACUAUCAGCAGGUCGAUGCUACGAAGCUGCUGAAGGGACAGGUGGCGGGGGGGC